AUUGAACGCUGGCGGCAGGCCUAACACAUGCAAGUCGAGCGAGCGGCGGACGGGUGAGUAAUGUAUGGGGACUGCCCGAUAGAGGGGGAUAACUACUGGAAACGGUGCCUAAUACCGCAAACUGUCGGAUAACCCAUAUGGGAGUAGCUAGUAGGUGGGGUAAAGGCUAACCUAGGCGACGAUCUCUAGCUGGUCUGAGAGGAUGAUGAGCCACACUGGGACUGAGACACGGCCCAGACUCCUCCGGAGGCAGCAGUGGGGAAUAUUGCACAAUGUGCGCAAGCCUGAUGCAGCCAUGCCGGGUGUAUUAAGAAGGCCGUAGGGUUGUAAAGUACGUUCAGCGGGGAGGCGUUACCCGCAGAAGAAGCACCGGCUAACUCCGUGCCAGCAGCCGCGGUAAUUC
rnacentral:rRNA from 1 species